UUUGGCCUGGAUUAUUUGUAUUGUUCUUUUUGCUAUUUUAAUCUCUUCCCCCUAUUAUACAGGAAUAAUAUCUGUUGUCUUCACUGCCAGCAUGUUCAUCAUCUGUCUAGCUGUAACUCUCAAAUCUCUCUUUGUCGCCACCUCAGAAUCGGCUGAAGAAAAGUACAGAGUUGUUGGAGCAUUAGUUCUGUUGCUGGUUAAUUACAUUUUUUUAAUUCUCCCCAUGAUUGAUUUUUCAAUCAUUCCAGAUUUCCGUGAUUUCAACAUGAAGCUAUUUUUUACCUUGAGUCUGCACUGCCCUGUAAUAGAUUUUCUUUUGCUGGGUUUUAUGUCCAAAGGGCCUUUUAUCAGGCUGCUGAUGCGUCUCUGCUGCUGCAGGAAGAGGAAUCCUGCAGAGAACGACAGCAGCAGAUCAGCUGUUGGAUUAUAGUACAGAUUAUAACUGGGCUCAGAGACAGAGACUAAGGACAGAGGAAGGACGGUGUGAGAUUAGAGAGAAAACCACUUUCCAACGCAGAAGUGGUUUGUUACAAAGUUUGGUACAAACUCCGGGUUUUAAGCUGCUUUCACACCUCGACUGUUUCUCUCCAUUUCUAUUUAAGAACUUCAUCUCAGUUGAACAUCACAGAACAAGAAAUGGAUUCUUCAGAUUUUGUUUACGUGAUGAUUUGGAUGAACAUCCGUGUCUGCAUCCCAUUCACCUUGAUAGUUUUUGCUCUGGGUUGUGUAGUCAGAUUGGAUGGUUUUCCUGUCACCUUCUACAUGAACCUUCUCGUCUCCAACCUGAUCCAACUCGGUGGUUUGGUUAUUUUAAUGGUGAAGAUGAAUGAAAAUAAUUUCCAUCUAAUCUGCUACGUUGUCGUCGGCUGUGGCGCUUUGGCCAGUAUUUGUUUCAGGACAGUCAUUGCUCUGGA